AUUAACCAUGGAAUGGAUGGUUCCCUCGCGUCGAGGUGGGGCGGGGGAGUAAAUGGGAAUGUGACGGGGCGGACCCAAUCCGGGCGCCCUUAUCGCAGCCGACCCCGCGACUGUAGAACGGUCAGGGUCCGCUAUCGGGCUUGAUCUUCCAAUUCUCGGCGGAACCGCAUGGGGCGGUUCGCGGAACUGGAUGGCAGGCCGGAAAAGCCACUGGCGUGGCAUCGUGAUCAGCCGGGCUGGACGCCUCUUCUUCUACGAAUCGUCCGCCUUUCACGAGUCAUGUAACGCCGGGAAGGCGAGGCGGACCCGUUCGGGCCCAGGCACCGCACAAAAUGUGCGCGCUGCCUGACGCGCGUGACGCCGUGAGCCAGGAGACCUGCCAUCCGUCAGGGCAUUCC
rnacentral:ncRNA from 1 species